CGGGCUUUGGAGGUCUGUGUUGGGUGCGCCUAACACCCAUUGAAGUAAAUUUAACACCCCGUUGCGCUGGCUUGGUGGAUAUAGAGUUCAGGAAAUUCCACAGUUACCAUUAAGAUGCGCCAUCUUUGCAGCUGUUAGCAUACAUUUCCAUUGACUAACAUUAGCUAAAAACAGUAUAAAAAGAGGAGAAAAAAGCUGUGGAACAACUCCGUUAGCUGCUGAGUUACUGUUGGUAAAUACAUACACACUGUGGUGUCCAAGUGUUAAUGUGAACAAUAACUCCAGUAAUUUAACUUUUAAAAUCUCCAUUAGUUUACAAUUGCUGCUAAUCCCAUAAUGCAUAGCGGUAUGACAUCACAUUCCGGAACUCUCGUUCGCUCCUCUUUGCCCCAUAUGCUCUUCUGUGUUGGCCGCCUUGUCCUCCAGCUCCAGGUAGAUUCCAUUUUAAAAUAACGCUUUAACACGAAAUCCGUUCACUAAGCAGCCACUUUGUACUGCUUUUAGUGCCGCUGUUGGCCGUGAGCUCGUCACCUUCUCUGUGCGCGCAGCGUGCCGCCUUCGUAAAGGCCUGGCCGGCUUCUUUGCACUCUGCUUCUCCACUUCAACCAGUCCUGGUCCAUGCGCAGUCAAGCACUUUCAGCGGUACGUUUUUCCUUUGUUAUUUUUGUAGCGUCUUUGUUUUUCAUCCAGGUUUAGUUAGUAAUCCAAAUGCAUUUGUUGUAGGUGUCCUCAGUGGUCUGCAGGGGCACUGGCACGUUGCCGCUGCUGUUUUGUUUUGUCCUGUUUUGCUCUGCUCGUUUGCGCUCCGCGCCCGUGUCUCCUAAUCGGACACUUUCUCCUGCGGUCUCUCUGGGCCUGAGUGCCUGGAGGUUAGCGCCGUGGUCCAGGUCGCUUGUGCGCCUGCCACGUGCCCUGGGCUUUGUUUUCCAGGCUGGCAAUUGGUUUUAGAUAACAGAACUUUAUUUUAAUGACCGUUAACAGCGUUUUUUUUUUAAACCAAAACCAACCAAUGAAACCAAUGAAAUGUGUUGAAAUACAUGAAACGUUUUCUACAAAUGUAAACUAAAUGGAACCGGUGUCUUGAGCUCUCAAUAUACUUGCGUGCCUCUAAGCUGUAAUACUUCAUUUCCCCAGGAAGUCUGGGGUGGCGUUGUUGGAAAGUCUAUACAAAAUUCUUCAGAUUAUAACUAUAAUUUAUUGUCUGUUAACCCUCAGCUGCCACACGUAGUUUCUUUUUAUCCUUUCUUAUAAAUUUAAAUAGGCCCACAAAACCUCUGUAAAACGUAAUCUCUGAUCCGCUGUAGUUGUUAGACUUGGUGUAGUUUUUUUUAUUCAAAUGUAAACAUUUCAAUAACUGCUAUAACAAAAAAAUUAAUAGGCCUAAAUUUGAUGUCACAUCUCCAUUUGGUCACACCUGCAGUUGGUAAAUGUUGUAAAUCUUCAGGUAAACC
rnacentral:lncRNA from 1 species